UACGGAGGGUGCAAGCGUUAUCCGGAUUUACUGGGUUUAAAGGGUGCGCAGGCGGACUGUUAAGUCAGUGGUGAAAGCCCCGGGCUCAACCUGGGAAUUGCCAUUGAUACUGGCGGUCUUGAGUACAGUAGAGGUAGGCGGAAUGCAACAUGUAGCGGUGAAAUGCUUAGAUAUGUUGCAGAACACCGAUUGCGAAGGCAGCUUGCUAUGCUGUUACUGACGCUCAGGCACGAAAGCGUGGGGAUCAAACAGG
rnacentral:ncRNA from 3 species